UGGUAUUAGUGAACUCGCGUUUAACAGAUCGUUUUGUUUACAUCCAAUGUCUUCUUUGCUUGCCAAAAAAUCCGUCAACGGUUUUUUUUUUGCGUUUCAACAACGAAAGUGUACUUUACAGCUGUUACAGUUGAUGGAGAAAUCCGAUGAACGGGUUCUACUGCAGAACAGAUCGUGUCGCCGAUGGAAAAAAUAAUCAAUGUGACAAAGCCGGCUGGUGUGCCCAGGUUGCUGACGCGUGCGCUAGACUCGGACGAAGCUGGCCAUCAACUUGUAAAUACGGCCAAGCGGUGGAAAGUUUCCUUCGCACCGAGGACCGAAGUGUUCAACACCGAGGAAGAAAAGUUGAACAAAUUUGCCAAGCAGGCUCUGAAGCGGGCGUAGGCCGGAGGCCAUCAAAUAUGUUCUGCCCAAAGAUUUGAAAGUGGUUCCGCAGCAUACGGUUCGGAGCAGUGCCGGAAAGAGUCCACUAGUGAAGAGAAGAAAGUACUGGAGUACAUGCCGCACACCAACUCAACGAUUUAUUAAGGCAUACGUUCCGUUCAUAGAUAUCGAUCUGAUGGAGAAGUUCUUUUUUCGCUUUCGGAUUGCUACGUUCUGCUGGAGUUGGCCCCCAAACAGAAGCGAGACUUUGUGCAGUGGAUCCGAGUUAACGAGCUCAACGAAAACCCGGUGCUAAUCGCAGAGGAACAUGUGGAUUUCUACCACCAGACGGUGGUUUCGGAUUGUAGCUUUGUGGCAUUGUUGGCGGAACUUGUACGAGAAGAAGAAUCGAUUUUUUAUCCUAGUUAUAAUCCUAGAUGAAAGUAUUGGACCCGGAUGCACGUCAAUGGGAUCUCGAGGAAGGACUUUAUUGGCGACUGAUUGCCACUGCCUCGGAUGGAGAAAGCCUUCAUGAAGUUAAUAGGAGGAUACGAUUUUCUAAUAGAAAAACCGCCAGCCAGCCAAGACAUUUUCCGCCCUGACAAGAACAAGGGUAAAUUUUCUGCUGAUCGACCAAUUCCAAUCAUCAGUUCAUCUGGUCGAAUUCCCGGUCAAAUAGGUCAAUUCAGAGUUGAAGGUUGUCGAUCCGGGCAAAUUGGUUCCAAACCCAAGGACCACUUCCCCCAAGGUCAGCUGGGGAAAGCAAAUAAAGAGCAGCUAUUUGUGAUAGAAAUCACCACCGUCUGCGUCCAACCGGCCAAAUGGUUCGGAAUUGCUCUGUCACAAGAUCGCCAGCAUUAUGUAAACAGGAGACUUGAGAAUCACGACGUCAAUCUGGUGGCAAUCUGGAAGGCUCAGCGUAUGAUAUCCAAAGCUGCCGACAUCGCAGUGACCUGGACGCGUCGCAAUUUCAAUCGUUUUCUGAGGACGUUAAGAAGGAACAUGACUUAUACGAGGCCCAUAUGAUGUCGCUGCUUUGGAAGAUGGCUACGGGAAAGCUGACAUUAAUUCCGGGAAAUGCGAAGUGUGUUGCAGGAUGACUACGCAGCCAUAUUUGAGUCAGUGUUGUAUUAUCCCUGGCGCCAUCGGGAAUAAUCGUUUAUUUUUCGUUCUUAAGUGUCAAGAUGGCUCGCGUACCGAAAAAAACAUUUGAAGCGUUUGAACGCCUCCAGGGUUACCUUUGCCCCGCGUCGAUCCACUGGCCCAAACUGCGUGGGUCGUCUGAAAUACGUCUUGACCAAGGUCACCAAGAUCUGCAGCGUCACAUCUAAAUCGAUGUCAAGGUUCGCAUUGACCCCAACUACCCGGCCGGAUUAAUGGACGUCAUCACUCUUUGAUAUACGGCGGUACUACCCCGGAGAAAGCCAAGUACAAGCUCCUGAAGCUGAAAUGCGUCCAGAUAGGCCUAAAGAAGGUACCGUUUAUCAUAACCCCGGAUCUGAGCAUCCACCAGAAUGAUUCGAUUCGCUACGAUAUCGCCACGGGUGAUGGACGUGCUCAAGCUCGAACCCGAUAUGUGCAUGCAUGAUUAUUUAUCAGAAUUUUGUUCGUUGCGGAACUAGGAUCCAGCGUGACAAGCACUUAGAAUCGUGAGAUAUCGUGUACUUCGAGAAUGCCAACGAAUGUCGCAAAGAAAGCUCUCAUUUCAUUUGUAAAUGCUAAUAAAACAUUAAGUUUAUGUGCAGGCUCUAUCCCAGUUGGGACAAAAAUAAUAAAAAAGCAAUAAA